GGGGGUGGAUUUUAGAAAUAACCCAUUCGUUGGUUAGGUAAAUUAACUUAGUAUUUUGAAUUUAAGGCAUAAGGGGCGUCUUCAGUUGUCAGGCCUUUGUCGGAACUUAUAGUUCCUCCUUUUUUAGGAAGGAGGGGGGUGUUGUAUCUUUACCCUAAGCCCCGGGUUCUCCCUAUUAGGAGUAGACAACUGAUACCAUUCUCCCUGCCAGGAGUAGACGAUGGACACCAAUGGGCCUCUGGUUGGAUACAGCGGAUGUCAGAGCCUGCGCACGCCUGCAGCGCCCUCUUCACCUUAUGGUCAACAAUACGUUAGACGCAAUAACGAAGACACAGUAAGUUAACAACGCCCGAGUUAUAGG
rnacentral:lncRNA from 1 species